rnacentral:rRNA from 1 species
GACGAACGCUGGCGGCGUGCCUAAUACAUGCAAGUAGAACGCUGAAGGAGGAGCUUGCUUCUCUGGAUGAGUUGCGAACGGGUGAGUAACGCGUAGGUAACCUGCCUGGUAGCGGGGGAUAACUAUUGGAAACGAUAGCUAAUACCGCAUAAUAGCAGUUGUUGCAUGACAACUGUUUGAAAGGUGCAAUUGCACCACUACCAGAUGGACCUGCGUUGUAUUAGCUAGUUGGUGGGGUAACGGCUCACCAAGGCGACGAUACAUAGCCGACCUGAGAGGGUGAUCGGCCACACUGGGACUGAGACACGGCCCAGACUCCUACGGGAGGCAGCAGUAGGGAAGCUUCGGCAAUGGACGGAAGUCUGACCGAGCAACGCCGCGUGAGUGAAGAAGGUUUUCGGAUCGUAAAGCUCGGUUGUAAGAGAAGAACGAGUGUGAGAGUGGAAAGUUCACACUGUGACGGUAUCUUACCAGAAAGGGACGGCUAACUACGUG